CAGUAGCCGCGGGAAUACGAAGGGGGCUAGCGUUGUUCGGAAUUACUGGGCGUAAAGCGCACGUAGGCGGACAUUUAAGUCAGGGGUGAAAUCCCGGGGCUCAACCCCGGAACUGCCUUUGAUACUGGGUGUCUAGAGUAUGGAAGAGGUGAGUGGAAUUCCGAGUGUAGAGGUGAAAUUCGUAGAUAUUCGGAGGAACACCAGUGGCGAAGGCGGCUCACUGGUCCAUUACUGACGCUGAGGUGCGAAAGCGUGGGGAGCAAACAGGAUUAGAGACCCCUGUAGUCCCUGUCUCUUAUAA
rnacentral:rRNA from 1 species